UUGGUAUCAAUUCAACAAUAUGAAAGUGCUAUAAGAAAUGUCCAGAUAUUAACAGAAAGAAACAAGGAAACAAGAAGGUGAUAAAAGUUACCGGUUUCGAAACUUUCCUUAUAAAUCAACAAACAUUAGUGAUACGAGUAUUAUUAAUGCAGUGGUUGUCCUAGCAGAUGUGGAUAAGAUCAGACUUACCGCGAGCGCCGGCGACCUAGCGGAGCAGUUGGGGAAGAACGACGAGCCAACACCGUUCAACGAUCAUGAACCGGGUCCAAGCCGAAGGUCUUUGAGAAAGAGCCACGUCCCUGGAUGAACAGCAGAUUACGAUUUGGGAAUCUCAUAAAAUCCCUAAAGCUAUUGGAGAAAUUGCAAUGGGACCUUAAGUAGUAUAAAAUUUCUAAAUAAAUUGUAAUAGUAUAAAUAGGAAUUUGGGUUUACAAACAAAGCAGAAAAUUAUUGAAUGAAACAGUACGUUCCACCAUUUCUACAUCUCCAAAACGCAUCCGACUGAACCAGUCGAGUAUUCCGAUCACCCCAGCUCGCACUCCGAUCUCUGACUCCAUCAUCUCCGAUCUCCUCCGACCUGUCCAGAUCCGAUUCCUAGCCAAGUUCUGCCAGAUUGAGCCCUUCCCCAAAUCAGCUUCACAGCAGUGAUUGGGUUAAGCUAAGACUCGAUAUAAGGAGUAUAUCUCCGUCGUGUACUGCUUCGGACACCCGUGAUUUAUCACCGCGGAUCUGAGGCAACACCAAUUUACAGGUGAACUCGCUUCAUUUGUAAAGAUCCGACUUAGUUCGUAUCAUUUGGUGCUUUCUUAAAGUUGAACUCUAAAUUUUUCAGAUGGCUAAUAACAUAGAUCUAUCAUCUAAUCCGGAUUUCCUUCGCCUGCAAGCAUUACAAAUGAAUCAGGUUAAAGAUAUGAACGAACUCAGAAAUUCAGUGAACAAUAAUUUCCUACAAUUAGGGAAACAACACUACAAAAAAAAGGACCUUGUAUGGCGGCCUUUAGAUGGCGGAUUUCCGCCAUCAAUACUUCAGUUGUUUAGAUGACGGAUGUCCGCCAUCUAUUCAUUGAAUCCGCCGAAGAAAAGUUUUGGAUCGACGGCGGUUCGAAAUUACUUUCGAUGACGGUGUUUAGAUGGCGGAAAUCCGUCAUCUAAACUAUCCCGCCCAAAAUUUCGAAUGGCCCCCAAUUUUCAGCCCGAUUACCCGAUUAAAUUGACUUAACAUGGCAGAUGUCCGCCAUGUUAUGUUUUCGGGGAAUCGGGCGGAAAAAGCCCGCCCAAAUUUCGAUUGGGCGGACUUUCACUUUAGUGCUGACGGCACUUAAGUGUACUUACAUGACGGAAAUCCGCCAUGUAAGUUUUGGGGUUUAUUAAAAACCCCAAAUCAGAACAGACGCGUUGUCUGUUCUUUUGGAAAUCCCUCACCGCCGCUCGUCGUCGCCGUCAGCGUUCGCCGGUCACGCCGCCGUGUCCUCGCCGGUCUUCACUGUCAGUCUCCGUGUCUUCGCCGGUAGCCGAUCUCCAUUCCGAUUCCUCAACUUUGAAGGUAGUUUCUAAUUUUUUAACGUUUUUUGUUUUUCCUAAUUUUUUCAUCCUUAAUUUGUCAUCUCUUCAUUGUUUGUUUAAUGUUAUUCUAUAUAUCUAUCUAUCUUUAUCUAUUUUUUUAUGUUUAUGUUUAUCCAUAUUGUUUAGAUUCAAUAUUUAUCUAUCUACUAUUUAGGCUUAAGUUGAAGUAUUUUCUGUUUAGAUGUUUGAAUGAAUGUAUGUAUCUGUUGAUUUAGUAUUGUUUGAAUGUAUGUAUGAAUGAAAUAGUAUUGUUUGCUGUUGAUUUAGUAUCUGAAAUAAUAUUGUUUGAAAUAGUAUUCAUUUAGGAAAGAAAUUUGUUUAGUUAUCGUGUUGAUUGUUUUUGAUAAGUGUUGGGUUUUUGAAUAAGUGUUUAGUUAUCGUGUUUUUGAUAAGUGUUUAGUUAUCGUGUUGUUGAUUUAUGGGUUUGAUUUAUGUUUUUUUAGUUAUUGUGUUGAUUGUUAGUUUGAUGUUUUUAUAGUGAGUUAUUGUUUGUUGGGUUUUUGAUGUAUGAAUAAGAAUUUUUCAUGUUUGGUUUUUUAUAUGUUAAGAAUUUCAAUGAUUUCAUAAGAAUUUGAAUGAUAUGUUAAGAAUUUCAUAUUGUUUUAAUUUCAAUGAUUUAGACAUUGGAAUUGUUUGUUGAUGGUUUGUUUAUUAAGAUAAAAUUUUAUGUUGUAGAUUAAAUAAUGGAAACUUUGUUGAUGUUUGUUAUUAACUUUGUUGAUGUUGAUCGUGAUGGUACUUUGUAUGUGUUGUUUGGGUAUAAUUUUAUUUAUACGGUUUAAUUUUGUGAUAUGUUAUUUGAUUAUCAUAAUGAAAUGUACUUAUUUGAUUAUCCGGUAGCCGACUCCGCUUCGAAGGUCGUCUCCGCUAGCCACCACCUCCGUCCUGAUUUGAUCCCGUCGCCGUUCUUGGUGAGAAGGGUUUUAUUUCACUUUGUUUNNNNNNNNNNNNNNNNNNNNNNNNNNNNNNNNNNNNNNNNNNNNNNNNNNNNNNNNNNNNNNNNNNNNNNNNNNNNNNNNNNNNNNNNNNNNNNNNNNNNNNNNNNNNNNNNNNNNNNNNNNNNNNNNNNNNNNNNNNNNNNNNNNNNNNNNNNNNNNNNNNNAUUAUAUUUUAGAAUGGGUUUUGGGUUCGAUUUAGGGUUAGGGUAAUAUUUUAGAAAUCGUUUUUUUAUGAAUUACAAUUUUUUGUUGGUAUUUUUUAUUAAUUUUACUGUUUUAUAUUUAAUUUAAAGUUUAUAAAUAAUAUAAAUAAAUAAUAGAAAUAAAUAAUUACUGUUUGUACAUAAUUUAAAUAUUAUUUGAUUAAUAAUAUAAAUAAUUUUGUAAUUAUCAAUACUUUAAAUAAUUUUAUAUUUUGUAUUGAAUAUACUGAUUUUAAAAUAAUGAAUAAAUUAUUAAAAAAUUAUUUUAUUUACUAUUUUAAAAUAAUUUAAAAGAAGUUUUAAUUGAUUAAUUAACAUAUUGUUUAAAAUAAUUAAUUAUAUAAUUAUUUUAUUUACUGUUUAUAAAUAAUUAAUAAAAAAUUUUAAUUACUGUUUAUAACUUAAUUUUGUAAUAGUUAAUUAAUUAAUAUAAUGUUUUGAAAGAAUUAGUUAUCGUAUUUAUUUUCAAACAGAAAAUAAUUAAAAAUUUUAUUUAAUCAACUUAUUUUUAAAUUAUAUAAAUAAUUGUAAUUAAAUAUCAAUUUAAUUAAAAUUUACAUGAAUCUAUAUCUUAAUUAAUUAUUUGCAUGAAAUAAAUAUGUUGUAAUUAUUUUAUGUUUUUAAAUAAUUUAAAUUUUAUAUAAAAUAUUUAAUGUGUUUUUGAUUUGUUAUAGGUUUUUUAAAAUCAAGAUUGAAGUAAGUUUUGGAUUGAAGAAAAUCUAAUUUGCAGUAAAAAUUAUAUAAUUUUAUUUAAUUUAUUUAUUUUUAAAUUAUUUAAUUUGUUGUUAAAAUAAAUUAUUAAAUUAUCAUUUUAAUUAUCAAAUGAAAUAAGAAUAAUUAGUAUUUUAUUAAUUGAUUGACAAUUAUUAAAUAUUAAUUUUUUAGUAAUGAAAUAUUUGCAUGAAAUAAUUAUAUAUGAUCAUUUUAAUUUGUAAUUAUUUAAUUAAUUAUUAAAUUGAAAUAAUAAUGAUAAAUUUACAUGAAAUUAUUAUUUUUUUAAAUAAUUAGUAAUUAUUAAAUUGAAAUGUUAAUGAUUAAUUUGCCUGAAAUUAAAAAUUUGUUAAUUAAUUAGUAAUUAUUAAAUUGAAAUGUUAAUGAAUAUAAUUUGCAUGAAAUUAUAGAAAUCAUAAUAAAUAAUUAUUAAAUUAAAUGAUUUUAAAUUGAAAUAAUAAUCAUUAAUUUUCCAUGAAAUGAUUAAUUAAUUAAUUAUUUCUUUGUUUAAAAAAUAUUAAAUUAAUUAAUUUAAUAUUUUUUUAGAUUUUAAGAAAUGCCACGUAGAGUGAAGCAAUUACCUCGUAGGAGGGCUCUACCACCCAAUCCCCAAGAUGCUUUCCGGUUUUAUCUCCCGGUUCAUCCAGCACCGGCCUAUCCCGCACCGCCGGAACCUGUUCGUCCAGCACCGGCCUAUCCCGCACCGCCGGCACCUGUUCGUCCACCACCGGCCCCUCCAGCACCGCCGGCACCUGUUCGUCCACCACCGGCCCCUCCAGUUCCGCAACCAGCAACUCCGAAGAAAGUUGUUUAUGAAACGGAUUCGGAAUAGUUCAAUAAUUAGCUAGAUUUUCCCAAAAAAAUUGAACUAUAACUAAUAUUGUAAUAGUCAAUUAAUUUUUAUAUAAUUCAUUAUAAUUCGAUAAAAAUUUUAAUUUUUAGGAUAAUGUCGAACGUUAUAAAAGUACCCGAUAAAGCUUGGAUGAGUUUAGAUCGGUUUUCGAAAGAAUAAGGUGAAGGGUUAACAACUUUCACUAAUUUCGCCAUUUCGAAUUCGACUCACCCAGAAGGUUAUUUACCUUGUCCAUGCUCGUCCUGCACGAAUAGUGAAGUGAUUCCUAUAAAAGAGAUGAGGAAGCAUGUUUUCAUAAAUGGUUGGUUGAAACAUUACGAUGUUUGGACGCGUCACGGAGAGUUAUCGAGUAGAUCUGGUGAGAAAAAAGUGAAACGAAAAGAAACAGUGCCGGAAACUGGUAACGAUAUGAUUGGAUUGGUUCGUGCGGUUUACGGAGAACAUGUAGUUGACAAUACAAGCGACGAAGAUUUUCUCGAAACAGAACCUCUCGAAUACGAGUCUGUCCAUGAAGAUCCAGUCGAUGUAGAUCCAGUCGACGAAGAUCCAGAGCAGAGAUAUGACGAUUCGUUCUUACGCCGUCUAAAAAAAGGUGAAGAACAGUUAUAUCCAGGUUGCACUGAGUUUUCCAAACUAUCUUUUAUCUUAGAAUUGUAUCAGUUGAAAUGCGAUAAUCAUUGGAGUGAUAAAAGUUUUCAGAAAUUAUUAUCCAUCAUGCGUCGUGCUAUUCCAAAUGGGGAGUCGACCAUUCCGAAAAUCAUGUACCAUGCGAAAUCGGUAGUUCGUGACCUGGGCUACAACAUCAAUGUAUGCUAAAUCUCCAAAUGAUGCUCCGUUGGUAGCAGAAAUUGAAUAUCAUGGAUUAUUAGAAAAUGUUUUCGAAAUUUGCUACGGUCACACGACUAAAUAUUGUCUGUUUGAAUGUAAGUGGUACGAUCCUGGAAAAGCAAGUAUUAAAGUUGAUGAUUUUGGUGUCGUCUCAGUCAACACGACACGGGGGAAAUUUGGAAAAGAACCUUUCAUUUUGGCAAAUCAGGCUCAACAAUGUUUCUACAUUCAAGAUCCGGUAGAAUCUGAAUGGAGUUCAGUCCUUAAAAUACUAAAUAGAGAUAUUUUCGAUGUUGAUAAUGAUGAUUGUUAUAAUUAAAUUAUAAAGUAUUACAUUACAAUAUAAUUUAAUAUUUUCAAUGUAAUAUCAUGUUGAUUAUAAAAUCUUUCUUUUUUUCAGUAAAAAAUGAGUCAACUACUUGCAAUCGUCGAACGAUAUAACGACUAGAGCGACUUAAUCAGAUUCAACGUAGUUUUUACAAAAACAUAGAUUAUUAUUGUCGUGUUUUUGCUUGUUUCCGUUGCGGAGUCAACGGUCAUCAUUUUCACAACUGUCCAAAAAUAUGGUCGACAAAUCCUCAAACAAUGGAAACCGGUCAGAUUUUAGUGUUAGGAUACGAGGCUAGAGUGUUGAAUGAUUGUGGUGGCACACAUUCAUUCAAAAUCAAAUACAACUCUUCUCACGACGACUUCGAAGAUUUGUUGUGUCUAAUAACAAAGAAUGUAAAUUACAAUAGGAAAAAUGUUUGGUUGUUGUGUCAGACCAAGACCCCAUAUACGGGUGUCUGGCUAUGUAUUUAAAAUAACUAAUUUUAUUUUCAAAUUUAAAUAUUUCAGAUUAUGUUUACUUUUUUCGUUCUGCUCGGUGUUAUCACACCAUUUAUGGCACUGGCGAUGGUUACAUCCCGUCGCUCUUUUGAAGAGUCCAGUUCAAGUGGUCAGUUUAUUAUUUAUAUUUUAAAUAUUAUCAUUGUUUCUAUAAAAAAUUAAUUUUUAAAUAUGUAAAUUAAUUAGAUGCGAGGCCAUCCACAUCGAAUGUGCCUCCACAGAAGAAGGGUCGUGGUCGCACAAAAGACCACCACCAUAACCAUCCAGAAAAAGGUACGAAGUGGAAGGUUAUGUUUGACAACACAAACCAAGCGACGGAUGAAAUGACGAAGAAAUUAACGACAAGAAUGGUUCUUUUAGCAAAGGACCAUACUCUCUUCCCGUACGACAUUGAGUGGCGUCAUCAACCACAACAGAAUUUUCAGGACGCGUUAAAAAUAUUAACUGUAAGUAUAUAUUUUUUAAAUUUUCCAAAACUGUAAUUUAUUAAUUUUCCAAAACUUAUAAGUUUUGAAUAUGUAGGCUGAAUAUGAUUUAAGUGGAAGCAAAGCUGCACAAACUUAUAUCAAUGGUAGGCUGAACAAACUCUGGAGGAGCAACCAUAAUUCUUUGGUUAAAACUUAUGGCUCUGAUCCUGAUAUGAGAGAAGAAGACAUUUUAGCGACUCUUCCACCAUAUGUCAGCAAACCACAAUUUCUGAAUAAAUUGAGACAACAUCGUUCGGAAAAAGGAAAGGUACGUAUAUGUAUAUAUAUAUAUAUUUAUUAAUAAAUUUCGAAACUUAUUAUUUUUUAUAAUUUCAGCAAAUUUCCGAGAUAAAUACCGCGAACCGAGCGAAUCAAAUGACACAUCACGCUGGUUCAAAAGGAUUAGCGCAAAGACGUCAUGAAUUGGUAAUUUUUUUAUAAUUUAUAUCUAUUUUUUUAUAUAUUAAUGAAUUAUGUGAAUAUAGAUGCAACAAGAAAAGAGUGAAGUCGAAGCUUGGUCAAAGACUUUACAAAUGACAUAUAAGGGAAGCGAUAAAGUUGUAAGUAUUUUUUUAAAAUUAUUUAUAUUUUAUAAUUUCUAUUAUCAUUGUUUGAUUUUGUUAUUCUUUGAGCUUGAAGCCACGGAAUUUAUCAAAAGUCCAGAGGCAAAAUCGUGGGCUGAAUCUGAAUCAAUGACUCCAUUUGUAAGUUCCAUUGAUUAUUUUAAAUAUAUUUCGUAUUUUUUUUUUUUUUUAUAAUGCAGCAAUUUAUCGAAGCGACGGUCAACAAGACUUUCGGAAAAAAUAAGAAGAAUCGAAUAAUAGGAAUUGGAGAAGCUGCCAGUAUGGUGAGCACAACAAACGAAAGAUGAGCUUCUCCAAAUUGGAAAGGAAAAGAGCCGAUCUCAGAAAACACGACUGUUGAUGCAACACCAGAUGCAGUUUGGUCGAAAAAAUUCAAAGCAUUGGAGGUAUUUACAAUAUAUUUCAAUAAUUUUGUUGAUUACCGAACUCAUUUUUGUUUUCAUUUUCAGAACAAGUGUAACGAGAGUCAAAAAGACGUCUCCAAAUACAAGAAGAAGUUCAAUGCUAUGAAAUCAUAUAUGAAAAAACUGAAUAAGACUUUGAAGACUUCUGGACUCGACAUGACACAGAUGGCUUCUACUUCAAAGUCCACAAUACCGUCUGCAUUCGGAUCAGAUAUUUCUGAUUCUGAUUCAGAAGACUCGCUUUCAGACGAGUGUUGAUUAAACGAUUUUUUUUUUAUUCAAACUUCGAAUGUUUAACGAUUCUGUAAUUUAAUUUCUUUUUAAUAAAAAACAUCGAUUUCAAUUUCAAUUUCAAAAUCGUUUUCUCAAAUAUCGAUUUCUAUUUCAAAAAACAACGAUUCGAACGCAAAAUAUAGAAUCCUGUUCUAAAAAAAAAAUGUAACAAACAUUGUAUGGCGGAUUUCCGUCAUCUAAACUCUUCUACUUAGUUUUAGAUGGCGGAUUUCCGCCAUCUAAAUAUGGGCACAAUCGCCCUCUCCUAUGAAUAGAUGGCGGAUAUCCGCCAUCUAUAAACUAAAGGAACCGCCUUCUGUACUUUAGAUAGCGGAUUUCCGCCAUCUAAUGUUUCAAGGAUAGUCGGCGGACAUCCGCCAUCAAUGAAAUUAACCGCCAUCAAUGAAUUGGCGCCAAACUAUUCCCGCGCCAUAUUUUAGAUGGCGGAUUUCCGCCAUCUAAAACUUUUCAGUUCGCGCGAAAAUUUUCAGAUUAGAUGGCGGAUUUCCGCCAUCUAUACAAUUUUUGGUGGGAAAUGGGGAUGGAUAAUAGAUGGCGGUCUUUAGAUGGCGGUUUAGGGGUUUUAAUGGCGGUGUCCAAGAUGGCGGUGUCUAAGAUGGCGGUCUUUAGAUGGCGGAUUUCCGCCGAGGAUCACUUUAGAUGGCGGAAAUCCGUCAUCUAAAGACCGCCAUACAAUGUCGGAUUUCUUGUAGUGCAAGUAUCUGAUUAAUGCUCAAGGAUUUCAGGAAUUAAAGAGGAUCCUAUACCUGAAAAACCUCCCGACCAAGCAAAACAACCACUAAAUUACUACCAAUCAGUGGUAGAUCUGGACAAACCUAGCUAUGCACUAUCAGUUUUGGAAGAUCCAAGCUACACACCAGCCAAGCAUAUUAAGGUUAAUAUGCCAAGGUUUGAUGGUACUGAAGCAGAGCACUGGCUUUAUUAUGUAAGAAGAUAUUUCAUAUUUAAUAAAGUGCCCGAAGACCAAAAAUUAUUAAUAGUUUCAUUUAAUCUGGAUGGGAUAGCAAGCAAAUGGUUUGCUUGCCUUGAAGCAAGCAACAUGCUUUCUACAUGGCCCAAUUUUGUAGAUGCAGUAGUGAGAAAAUUUACCACACUACACUAUCAAUUACCUGGAGGCAAAUUAAGUAAGCUCAUACAAGAAAGAUCAGUUGCAGAAUAUCAAAACUUAUUUCAAGAAAUAUCUACAAGGGUAUUGGGCUCCCUGAAUACUUUAUACUUGAAAUGUAUAUAUCUGGAUUAAAAGAAGAAAUACAGGCAGAUGUAGUACUCGGAAAGCCUAAUGACAUCUAUGAAGCAUUUGAACUUUCAAUUAUGAUUGAAACAAGGAAGGGAGGGUACAGUAAAUCACCUACCUAUAAACCCUAUGUCCAUAAACCAUUUACCAAAACAAACUCCUAUUCUAGCCAGCAUCAAAACACAUCAACAAUUAAUGAAAAACCAAGCAUAUCUGAGAUACCUACAACAAAGAGGCUAACAACAUAUGAGCUGAAAAGAGAAGCAAAGGACUUUGCUUCAACUGUGAUGAGAAAUUUUCUGCAGGUCAUAACAAUGUAUGUGUGGGCAGAAAGGGCAAGCUAUUUAGAAUAUCGGCAGACCAGUUUGAGUUAGUAGAAAUUGAAGAACAGGAUGAGAUUGAAAUUAAUGAGCUGGAAUCUACUAAUGAUGUUAUUGACAGAGGAAGGACUGAAAUCUCUCUCCAUGCAUUUGAAGGCAAUAUUCGUUCUAGCACACUCAGAGUUGAAGGCUUUAUUAAAUGUCAAUCAGUUAGUGUAUUGAUAGAUUCGGGAUUAGUUUUAUGCAAACUGAUGUAGCAAUAGCAUUAAAAUUGACAGUGUUAGUGAUUACACCAUUCUAUGUGUUAACUGGAAGUGGUGAGAAAUUAGUAUGCAAUAGAAUGUGCAAGGGUGUUGAGAUCAAGAUCCAAGGUAACUCUAUUAUAAUGGAUAUAUUUUUAAUCCAUAUGGCAGGUUCUAAUAUAGUUAUUGGGGUACAAGGCUUGAAAACAUUUGGCCCUGUCACAUUCAACUUUGAAAGAUCUACUAUGGAGUUUACUUUAGGUGACAAGAGAGUCACAUGGGAAGGAUUGCCCUGGGUUUCAGAUGAUUCAUUGACAGCUUAAAUGUUUAAUUGCUUCUACACAAGAAGCCUAUCUCUGUUAUUUAGAAAGGCUGAAAGUAUUGAACCUAAGGCUGCAUUAGAAAACAAAAUUCCAGAAAAAACUAAGUGGUCCAAGAAUACUGUGAUCUCUUCGAAGACCCAUGUGGGCUACCUCCUCACAGAGAAGAAAAUCACUCAAUUCACUUAGAUCCAAGUUCAAAACCAGUGAAUGUAAGACCAUAUAGGUACCCACAAUUUCAGAAAUCUGAAAUAGAAAAGCUAAUUUCUGAAAUGCUAAAACAAGGGAUAAUAAAAUCAAGCUCUAGCCCAUACUCAUCCCCGGUUUUGCUAGUAAAAAGAAAGAUGGUGGGUAUCGUUUAUGUGUAGAUUAUAGAGCCUUGAAUGCUCUAACAAUCAAAGAUAAAUUCCCUAUCCCUACUGUUGAUGAAUUAUUAGGUGAACUAAAGGGAUCAGCAAUUUACUCUAAACUAGAUUUAAGAUCUGGUUUUCACCAAAUCAGAAUAAACCCUAACCAUACUGAAAGGACAGCAUUUAGAACUCACCAAGGGCACUUUGAAUUCUUGAUAAUGCCUUUCGGAUUAACCAAUGCCCCGGCAACAUUUCAGUCUGUUAUGAACAAGGUAUUCUCUAAAUAUUUAAGAAAGUUCGUAAUUGUAUUUUUUGAUGAUAUUCUGAUCUAUAGUGCUUCAAUACAAGAGCACAUUGAACAUCUAAAGGCAGUAUUUAAUUUGUUGAGAGCAAACAAGUUGAUAGCCAAACUUUCUAAGUGCUCUUUUGGCAAAAAUUCAAUGACCUUCUUGGGCCAUAUUAUUGCUAUAGAUGGAGUUCACCCUGAUCCAGAGAAGAUUAACGCAAUGGUGGAAUGGCCUAAAUCAAAAUCCUUAAAAAAAUUAAGAGGGUUUUUGGGUUUAACCGGGUACUACAGAAGGUUCAUAAAAGGGUAUGCCUCAAUUGCAGCCCCUAUGACAGACUUGUUGAAGAAAGAUAAUUUUAAUUGGGGUGAAGAAGCAAUAAUCAGCUUUGAGAAAUUGAAAACAGCAAUGAUUUCAGCUCCUGUCUUAAUUUUCCCUGAUUUUGAGCUAGAAUACACAGUUGAGACAGAUGCAUGCAAGUCUGGAGUAGGUGCUGUCCUAAGCCAAAAUUCACAUCCUGUGAGCUUUUUUAGCUGCAAAUUGUCUGGAAAAAUUAUGGCAGCAUCCAUUUAUAUAAAGGAGAUGUUUGCAAUUAUUCAGGCAGUGAGUAAAUGGAGACACUACUUGCUUGGUUCAUAUUUUACAAUUAAGACAGACCAUAAGAGCCUCAAAAAUUUGCUAACCCAAGCUAUCCAAACCCCAGAGCAACAAGUCUUUUUAUGCAAAUUACUUGGGUAUGAUUUCUCAAUUGUCUACAAGCCAGGAAAAGAAAAUUUAGUAGUUGAUGCUUUAUCAAGGAAUUUUGAAGAAGAAGAAGAAGUAUUAUUUACUUCCAGUUCAUUGGGGGUUUCAGGUUCCCUACUAGCUCUAUCACAGCCAAUAUAUACACUAAGAGAGAAAAUAAAAACAGAAAAUCAGAAUGACCCCAAAACCAAAGAAAUGAUUGAAAAAUAUAGUAAAGCUGAAGAAGAUUCUAUGGGCUAUAUGGUUAGAAAUGGCAACUUAUAUUUCAGAGACAGACUAUAUCUGAAUGAACACUCCAACAUUAUAAAAAAAUAUUGUUUGAAUUGCAUGACUCACAGUUGGGGGGGGCACUCUGGAAUCAAUAGAACUUGAAAGAGGAUAGCAAAAUAUUUUUUCAGACCAAAUAUGGGCAGUUGUAUAAAAAAGUAUGUUAAAGCUUGCUUAAUGUGCCAAUAAAUUAAACCCACCAACUCUAAAAUGGCAGGAUUGUUAAUGCCUCUCCCAAUCCCUUCAAAUGUAUGGCAGAAUAUCAGCAUGGAUUUCAUUACAGACCUUCCUAAAGUUAAAGGAAAAUCAGUCAUCAUGGUUGUGGUAGAUAGACUGUCUAAGUAUGCCCAUUUUAGCCCAAUCAUAACUAACUUUAAUGCUUCUAAAGUGGCAGUGUUAUUUGUCCAAGAUAUAGUUAAACUACAUGGUAUUCCAAGUUCAAUUGUCUCAGAUAGGGACAAAGUGUUUACAUCAAGGUUUUGGAAAGAAUUAAAUAAACUUAGUGGCACUAAACUCAAUUUUUCUUCAGCAUAUCAUCCCCAAUCAGAUGGGCAGACCGAAGUUGUGAAUCGAACAUUGGAGAUGUAUCUAAGAUCUUAUUGUCAUGAAAAUCCUAAACUAUGGCUGAAUUUAUUACCAUGGGCGGAGUUAUAGUACAAUUCAAGUUUCCACUCAUCCUUGGGCUUAACGCCAUUUAAAGUAUUAUAUGGGAAGGAGGCAAAUGAAAUAGCACAUUAUAAUCAAGGAGAAUCAUCAGUGCAAGCUGUAGACACUAUACUACAACUUAGGGAAGAAACCUUACAAAAAAUAAAGAAAAAUCUAGCAAUGGCGCAAACAAGAAUGAAAAAUCAGGCGGAUAAGAAGAGAUCAGAUAUUAAAUAUCAGGAAGGAGAAUGGGUUUUAGUUAAGUUAAAACCUUACAGACAGGGAUCUGUAGCUCAAAGGCUUAAUAAUAAAUUCUGCAAGAGGUAUUUUGGACCCUAUGAAAUUAGCAAAAAAAUCAAUGAUGCAGCAUACCGAUUGAAGCUCCCGGAAGGCAGAAAGAUAUACCCAACUUUUCAUGUAUCCCGUCUGAAGAAAUACUGUGGAGAAAUUUCUGAAAUUUCAAACAGGGAACAACUAUUAAUAUCAGUGGAUAAUAACCCUAUUAUUUAUCCUAUCUCUAUAUUAGGCAAAAGGAAAAUUCUCAAGGAAGGCAGGGAACGGAAACAGGUACUUAUCUUGUGGAAUGGGACCAUCCCUGAAGAUUCAACUUGGGAAUUUAUUGAUGACAUGAAAAACUAUACCCUUCUAUCAACAUUGAGGACAAUGUUGAUUCUGGAGAAGGCGAUGAUGAUACGAGUAUUAUUAAUGCAGAGGUUGUCCUAGCAGACGUGGAUAAGAUCAGAUUUACCGCGAGCGCUGACGACCUAGCGGAGCAGUUGGGGGAGAACGACGAGCCAGCACCGUUCAACGAUCAUGAACCGGGUCCAAGCCGAAGGUCUUUGAGAAAGAGCCGCACCCUUGGAUGGACAGCAGAUUACGAUUUGGGAAUCUCAUAAAAUCCCUAAAGCUAUUGGAAAAAUUGCAAUUGGACCUUAAGUAGUUUAAAAUUUCUAAAUAAAUUGUAAUAGUAUAAAUAGGAAUUUGGGUUUACAAACAAAGCAGAAAAUUACUGGAUGAAACAGUACGUUCCACCAUUUCUACAUCUCCAAAACGCAUCCGACUGAACCAGUCGAGUAUUCCGAUCAUCCCAGCUCGCACCCCGAUCUCUGACUCCAUCAUCUCCGAUCUCCUCCGACCUGUUCAGAUCCGAUUCCUCGCCAAGUUCUGCCAGAUUGAGCCCUUCCCCAAAUCAGCUUCACAGCAAUGAUUGGGUUAAGCUAAGACUUGAUAUAAGGAGUAUAUCUCCGCCGUGUUCUACUUCGGACACCCGUGAUUUAUCAUCGCGGAUCUGAGGCAACAACAAUUUACAGGUGAACUCGCUUCAUUUGUAAAGAUCCGACUUAGUUCGUAUCAAUUAGCAUAAGAGCUUCAAAAGUAAUUCGCAUAUAACACAACCGUGACCGAACGUCCAGUUCCACAUCGAAUGAUGAUUAAUAUAUUGGAUGAAACUUGUAUCAAAUGAUGAUUAUAUUGGAUGAAUCAUUUAAUUUAUAUGUGGAUGAAUAUAUAGAAAAAAUUUCAUAGAAGCCUCUUCCAUAAGCCAAAAGGUGUCAUUCUAAUUUGGGUUCUUUAUUGUAAAAAAAAUUGUAAACUUUCCUCAACUGAAUGACAGUCAUGAUGGAGGAUUUUUUUUUAAAUAAAAUGAAUAGACAGUCAUGAUAAUAUGAAACUUUCUAGACUCACUAAAAAGUGGCUCACUUGAAAUUAUUCUGAAUAUAUAUUGUGUAUUUUCUAUCGUAACAGUUCCAUAGGUGUGGGUUUUUGUAAAUUACGAAUGAACACCCAGAAGGUUUUGUACCAAGAAAAGUUGAGACCAACUUGGUUUAUAAUAUGCAUUAAGAGUAUGUUUAAUGUUUAUAAUAUGCAUGUUUAAUGUUUAUGUUAAAUUUUAG
rnacentral:lncRNA from 1 species